rnacentral:rRNA from 1 species
GAUGAACGCUGGCGGCGUGCCUAAUACAUGCAAGUCGAGCGAACAGACGAGGAGCUUGCUCCUCUGACGUUAGCGGCGGACGGGUGAGUAACACGUGGAUAACCUACCUAUAAGACUGGGAUAACUUCGGGAAACCGGAGCUAAUACCGGAUAAUAUAUUGAACCGCAUGGUUCAAUAGUGAAAGACGGUUUUGCUGUCACUUAUAGAUGGAUCCGAGCCGCAUUAGAUAGUUGGUAAGGUAACGGCUUACCAAGUCAACGAGGCGUAGCCGACCUGAGAGGGUGAUCGGCCGCACGGGAGAGGAGACACGGUGCAGACUCCGAAGUGAGGCAGCAGUAGGGAAUCUGCCGCAAGGGGCGAAAGCCUGACGGAGCAACGCCGCGUGAGUGAUGAAGGUCUUCGGAUCGUAAAACUCUGUGAUUAGGGAAUAACAAAUGUGUAAGUAACGAUGCACGUCUUGACGGUACCUAAGCAGAAAGCCACGGCUAACUACUU